CUUCUGGAGAUCCUGCUCCGUCGCCCCAGUGUUCAGACUACCUGUUCAGGACAAUGCCGUUGUACAGUAGUCUGCACAUUGGUUAGACUGGGCAAGGGACAACAACGCCACGGACGGCCGGGGACACCAGUCGCUGUUUCCAAGGAGAAGAAGUUUGUUCGCUCCUUUUUCGAAUCUCAUACCCAGUGUUUUUCUUCACAGGUUUUGCACACUAGGGACCAAGAAGCCCUCGGGGACACUGCCGAGAAAGGACUGCUCAAGGGAAGACCUGUGGAAACUACCACUGGUUCCUCACCGAUUUUCUCCAUCAAGAUGACUUUUAGUCUGGAGACAGAGGGGACCGGAGGGUGUCCUUGGCGUAAGUACAGGAGUAGGAACGUAUGAAUUAAUUUGCAAAGGGGUAACUGAGGAGCCCCUGCAUGUGCUUCGCGGAGCUCUGCUGACAAUCCAUUUUUGAUGCAAACUUUUAACAAAUGGGAAGGAAUAGUACUUAUUUUUAAACUAAAUUAAAAAUCAAAAGUAAAAGCUUACUUGAUAAACCUCUGCUGACUGAAGGGAGGAUGACAGUUUAUACGCUGGUACAUACACCGACAUGUACACACACAUAUCGUAAAAUAAUCUUAUCUAUUUCCAGGGUAAUUAAAAUAAUGUUUAAUUUUAUUUUGAUAUUACUUUAUAAGGAGAUAUACAAAUAUUUUAGGGAUCAUGGGAUCUAUUCCAGAGGAAACUAACCAACAGUGAACAUCUUCAACUAAAACUACCCCUGGAUAUGAUGGUUGCACACAUCAUUCCUUUAUGCAGAGUUAACUGGAUCAAAUUAUUUAUGGGAGAGAGAGGGGAAAGCUAUACAGAAUUACAGUAAUUUUAAAUUUCCACCAAAAUACUCUUUGUAAGUGAAUCACUCCAUAAAUAUUUUCUGUUGCACUGAAUGCAGCGACAAUAACAAAAUAGUUUCUUAAGGUAUCUGUCUUUGCAUAAUCUGGCCUUGUAAUUACUUAAAUAUUAGCCAAGUCUACUGAUGUUUUUGAUUCUGUCAAGAAAAAAACAGUCCUCUACUCAGAAGUGAUGACUAGAAACAGAAUCAGACACUUUUUUUUUUGAAAUUAAAUAAAUGGAAAAUUGCUCUUAUCAACUCUGUUAAAAUUGUAUCAUAACUAAUUACUUCAUAGAAGUUCAGAUGUGUAAAAAACUCACUUUUUUCAGUCUCUAAAAACUUUUUUGCUCUCCAUAAACUUACUAUUUGCUAUUUUCUCAGAAUUUUACAAUUAAAGGGAAAUAAACUAUGUUUUCCUUACACUUCCUUGAAAAAAACCCUUAAGUACACACUCCUUGGAACAUAAAGGUUUUGUUUUGUUUUUUAAGAAAUUCCACUUUUUGGAAUUUCAACUAUCCAAAUUUUUUUUUUAAGAGAAGGGGAAUUUGUUAAAUACCUCUAUGGAUAUGAAUUGAUCAUUUAUAUUAAAAUAAUCAGUAGAAUUAUUCUCGACUCACCAGAAUUAAAUUUUCUAACUGUAUCUUUAACACUAUUAACUCUUCCUUAUAUGAAUUCUUAUAUGAACUCUAAGGAAAUUUUCCAAAGGGUCUGGUUUUACAUUUUGUAUAUGAAAUGAAGUUUCCUUUUCUGUGUUUAAGGUACUAUUUUGUAACUGUAUUGCACUGACAACAUCCAAAACACAUUAUGAGCAUCACUGUGGGUAACAACUUUUUAGUUUAUACCUCUUUUGAUUCAUGGCACAACCUUAUAGUUAAUUAAGAGAGGGAGAACUUAAGCUCACAACUGCUUUUUAUUUGGUUUUCACAUCCAUACUAAAAAAAACUUUGCAUUAAGAGGAAUAUGAGAAAUGUCAAUAAGUUCCUACUGUUUAAUAAAAUAUUGAAAAAAAUGCAUCUAAUUGUAAAAUCCCACUAUCAAAGCAUCAGAUACCAAAGUCGGCUGGUUGAGUUGUCAAAUACAUUAGGCUCAUUAAUUAUUUGGAAAAUGGCUGCCCUUUCCAUGUAAAUGACAAGUUUCUUUUUCAUGGGCAAGGUUAUGGUACUUAUCUCCUAUAAGAGACAUGUAUAAACAUAGUCUUUAUCUUUAACUUCAGUUUUAAAAUAUGCAGAGCUUUUGUGAAGAGGAAAAACAUCUGGUUCAAUUACUCUGAACUCUGACUGCAUGUGGGCCAGGAGUAAUAUGAAUUGGAUUUAAGAAUAAACCUUGUGUUUAGUCUUUUUUGUUGUUGUUUUUUCCUUAAAAUUUCAAUGUGAGUUUUCUGUUAUGUCAAUCAUCCAUGUUAGCACAUUUGAAACAAAUGUAUAAGUGUACUUUCUGAAUAAAGUCAAAAGUCUAACUUGUUUUUAGCUCCAUAACGUUUUAAUGUUUAAUUCUAUUGUGUGUUUUUUCUCCCUUUCCCCUGACCCUCCAAAACCACCAAAUCUGGAAAACAGAAUGAUUGUAUCUGCCCAUGAGCAAAGGAAACCCGAAGGAACCAAGGGCCUGGCUGGACGGAGUUGUCAUGUGUCUGCCUGUCUACACUUGCUGUGCAGAACAUCCGCUCACCUGUACAGCAGGCACAGACAGGCAGUCACAUGACAACCCAGCCUGAAUGACAACCAGCCAUUGAAAGAAAGCCCUCACACCAUAGCAUCUACACCAAGAGCUACAACCAAAAUGAGGGGCGCGGGGGCCUGGGGUUUUAAUCUGUCGGUUUCUUAAUUCGUAUGUAUUAUUAUUAUUAUUAUUAUUAUUAUUAUUAUUAUUAUUAUUAUUAUUAUAUUAUUAUUAUUUUCUUUUGAUUCAAAUAUUGAAACCCACCAAAAGUAAAGUGAGUGGUGCUUAUGAAAUAUAAUAAAACCCAUUUCUGAAACUGUU